GUACUCGCUUCGGCGGUACAUAUACUAAAAUUGGAACGAUACAGAGAUGAUUAGCAUGGCCCCUGUGGAAGGAUGACACGCAAAAUCGUGAAGCGUUCCACAUUUUU
rnacentral:snRNA from 1 species